GAAAGAAAGAAAGAAAGAAAGAAAGAAAGAAAGAAAGAAAAUAUAUUCAUGGGACAGCUGGGUGGCUCAGUUGGUUAAGUAUCCAACUGUUGAUUUUGGCUCAGGUCAUGAUCCCAGAAUCAUGGGAUGGAGCCCCACGUUGGGCUCCAUGCUUAGCAUGAAGCCUGCUUAAGAUUCUAUUUAUCUCUCCUUCUGCCCCUCUCCCCCAUUCACCCUUUCCCUCUCUCUAAAAUAAAAAAUAAUUAAAUAAUUUUUUUUUUUUUUAAUAAAUAAAUAAGGGGCACCUGGGUGGCUCAGUCAGUUAAGCAUCCGACUCUUGGUUUCGGCUCAGGUCAUGUUCUCAUAGUUCACGAGUGCAAGCCCCAAGUCGGGCUCUGCACCAAUAGCAUGGAGCCUGCUUGGGAGUCUGUCUCUCUUCCUCUCUCUUUCUCUGAUCCUCCCCCACUCGUGUUCUCUCUCUCUCUCUCUCUCCCUCUCUCUCAAAUAAAUAUUUUUAAAUUAAUUAAUUAAUUAAUUUAAUGUAUUCAUGACUAUGCCCAGUGUCUUCACCGUGGAACCCAGGGAUUUUCCUCUUUGCCGUCCACUUUCUGAGUCUUACCAGCUGGUCAUACCAGGUCCAGGUGGCAGUGUCUCCAGUGUUUCUCCUCCUGGGAGAUGAAACCUUAGCAAGGCUUCUGAAGAAUUUCUCAGAAUUUGUUCUUUUAACAUUAUCUUUAAAUGUUUUCUAUUUUCUUUUAUUAUUAUUUUAAAAUAUAUAUUUACUGAUAAAAGAAGGUUAUGCUUUUUAAACCUUUUUUGUUUGGGCUUAUUCUCUUAAAUAUCCUGCCUAUAAUCUGCCUCCACAUUUAUAAGCCAUGCCUUGUAGAUAUUUCCGAAAUUUCAGCUGGAACCUAUUUUGUGAAACAUAUUUAAACCUAACUUAAUAAAUACCUUUUAUAAAGCAUCAUUUUCAACCUAUGAAAUUAUACUCAGAGAAUUAAAAGUGCUUAUUCCAGGAAUCGUAUUACUUUAGUCAUUUAUUUUUCUUCACUGUGGUAUGUAUUGAUAAAUGUUGCUGUAAAACAGCUCUUGGAUAGCAUGUUGUACAUACUUAAUAUUAGUAAUAUUCAGGCUUUCUGGUUAAUCACGAAGAAAGAAUUAGAGAUUAAUUUAUCUUGAUGGUCUCAUUUGCACUUUGCUAUCACCAUCCUUUUUAAAAAUCUGCUUUUUCCAGUGACCUUUUUUGAUUCCUUGCUAAUCUCUUGACCAAGUCUUAGUAGUGUUCAACUCUGACACCGUUCGAUCAGGAUAAUUGUGUGCCAGGUCUAGUUGUUAAUCACUUUCACUAAUGGGAUCACAAGGAUCAACAAAAGAUUGCUCAAAAGCACAUUAAGUGAUAUGACUGUUGGCUCCUGCUUGAAAACAAAACGGAAUACAGAGCUCUUUAGAUUCAGUGAUCAGUUCCCUUGGUCUGGCCCUACUGUGUGCUGAGCAGAUGGGCCGUACCUACAAGGAUGAAUAAGACUUCCUGCCUGCUCUCCUUCAUGUAUCUUUUUUUUUUCCCUUUUAAGUAGAAUCACAGUUGCUUUGAAAGCUGUGGGAGGCCAGUUCUCAUAAUGCAGUCCCUGCAGCUGAUCUCAUUCUUAGAGCAUUGCUUAACACAGUACCUCCCACCAUUCUUCCAAAAGUUGAACCACAAAAUUAAACAAUAGCAGAGGGAGAGAAACACUAGAAAGCGGAGUCAAGGGAGAAAAAAUAUGUUGUGAGCUUGUGAAAUUCUCUCCCGAGAUCCUUGUUCUGGAUGGCUCACAAGUCACAUGGAUCUCAGGGCUCCUCUGGGCCCAGGUCCCUGGGAGGGAAUCACACUCUGCCAUGCACGUGCAACUCAGCUCUGAAACUGAGCUUAUAAAGAUGUGUGUGGCCCCUUCCUCCCUCCGUCCUGUUUUAUGCAUGUUUGAGGACCUGAAGGUCCCUAUGCAGACACUGGGUUUUAUUUAGAGUUUUUAGGGCUUUUUUUUUUUUUUUUUAAGUAAAAUAUCUUUCCUCAGCUUUUUCUUCUGAGUGCCUUCAUACUCGCUCUUUUCCCCUAAGGACUGUGGUUCAACUUCCAGUCUGGUGUUGAGAAUUCAUCAGUGCCACUGCUGUAGUUAUGUCUGUUCACCUUCUUGGCCGCCUAGUGCCUCCUGGCAUUUUAUCCAGUGGCGCAGACCGUAUUCCUCUCAUUCAGCUUACUAACCUUGAAGUACAAUUUCCAUGAUACGCUUUUGUCACUUGUGAGGAAUAGGUGGGCAAUUCUGUAGAUCUUUCUUUACCAUUAAAUGCAAGUGGCACUCCAGGUUCCCAGAAGAUGACAAUCUCCCAGCCUCAGGAAAUUCUCUAUUUUCUGCUAUUAGAACAUACACUCCAGACAGAUACUGAAUAUUAUUUCAAAAUACAUUACUGUUUCACAAAUUUGCUUGUGUUCAUUCUGUCUUUAUGGGUUUCUCCCCACCCAACUAUUUUCUAUUUUCUGAUAUUCCUUUUUUUUUUUUUUUUUUGGUCAGUCCUCACGUGAAAAUCAUCCAGAGUCUGCUCUGGGCCACAGCUAGAGUGGAAGUGGAGAGGAAAGCCUUCCCGUAAUGGAUAAUGAGGCUCUCAAUAUUAGUUCCAUCUUCAGGAUUACAUCAGCCACUUUCUUCCCUGACAUUAUCAGCAGAGAGGGCAGAAGGCAGUUUUCGGUGUUUGCCUAAUUGACACAGUUAUAAAGAUGAGCGUUUUUCCUGAAAAGCCUAUAGUUGAAUUGAAAGAAACAGUUGUUCUCAGUCAGUAGUCAUUAUAUCUCUCACUCACUGCCAUUUUCUGAAGGGACUAUUCAGAGACAGAAAUAAUCCCCUCGUUCCAAAAUUAUUCAGGGCUUUGGAGUCCUGGUUUUGGUUUACAAAGGGAAGGUUUCAUGUUAUACUUCAAGUAAUUUUUUUAAGUAUGUAAAACCCAAGAAGUAAAAUGAAAUCUGUUUUUAUCUGCCCAACAUGUCCUGUAUUUUUAUAGAUACCAUGCAGGUUUUUUGUUUUUUUUUUUUUUUUUACCUCUGUGUACACUUACCUGUAUAACCUGAAUAGUUUAAUAGGAAACAUGCAUCUAACGUUAGAGGAGUUUCUGAUCAGUUUUCCUGGUUAUAAACAUAAACUCCUUGUGGUCCUUCUUUCCUUCUUUUCCCUUGCUCAAAUGCACCAAUUCCAUCAUUUGGUGGGAUCAGAUGUUUGAAGAACGUGAAAACUCUGCAUCAUUUUCAACACCCCUCGCCCCCCACCCCCCCCACCACUCCCACAAAAUACACAUAUACACAAAUAUGUAAAAUUGAAUUCACCAUUUUAGGGGCUUCACAGACUCCCUAAAACUCUUACACAGGUAGGAGAGGGAAAGGCUUGCUCCAAGACUUGUGGAGAUUUCUGUGCCCAGCGAAAAUCAAGACCUAUUCUGCAACGUUACUGUACCAGAUAAAUAAUUCCUCAUCUCAGUUACCAACAUUUUAUGCCCUAAGUUCUUAGAGCUUGCAUAAUUGGUACAUAUAAUGGCAUUUUAUCUGAGGAUUCAUAAAAUUCUUGUUCUAAUUUUACCUCUCUGGCACUUUGGCUGCCUCGUGGAAUUUCUCUGGCUUUGGUUUUGUGACCUGUAAAAAGAAGAGCUUGGCACAUAGCAAUGAUUCAAAUCCUACACAGAGCCUGGAGGUCUAAGCAGCAGAGAGUAGAGCUUCUCUGACAUAGAGCCGUGGGAGAGCCGUGCACAUACACGCCUUCCUCAGUUAUUUCCUUCCAGCUUGAAAGCCGCUGGGCCAGAGGACCUCUCCUGGCCCUUUCACUUUCUGGACAAACCCUUCUUCUGUGGGCCACUCUAUGCUGGGACGGGUCUGUCUACUGCUUGGAUCAGCUUAAUUUGUGGAAGCAUCUGUUCUACCUCUUUCAAUAUUCCCUCCAGAAGAGGGUGGGAAUGUUGCAGGGAAGUAUUGCUGUGUGUUAAAUAGCAUGUGGUUUCUGAGAUCCUCAUCAGUUCACAUAACCCAGCCUUUCAAAGAAUUUUACAUUUUUUCUGUAGUUGUCAGUUUAGCUUAAACAUAUUUUGAAACUUAUGUUCUGUGACAGUUGGUUGAAAAUUGGCCUAGAGCCUCCAGCUUUUAGACUGUCUAGUAAUCACCGUUCUUCUACAUAAUUUAUGUACUUAUGUCUUCUGAAAAGCAGAAGUUAAAUUGAAAUAAGCAUUUUUCCCGACUUGCAACAUCUCUAAUCAAAGUUUAACCCCCUUUUGGGCCAUUUUCCCCACAGUGCAUUAAAAAAAAAAAAAAAAAAAAAACACUUCAGUGAGAGUCGUCACUCAGGAGUGGCAUUCCAGGCAAAACCUUUCACCCUGGUCUGAUCAACCGGUCCUCCUAGAAGAGGUCUAAAGGGACCCUUUGAAUACUCUGUGUCAUAGCAUGACUGCAUUAAGCAAAGGGUCAAGACAGAUCUACUUCUUGAAUCUUUUGGGAUUGUCUUAAACUUGAAGGAUUUCCCUAAAUAAAUGUUCUGCACUCAAAGGGUAGUCAUAAAGCACAAAUGAAGCUAAUAAAUGCUCAACAGACAUUCCUUUAAAGAAAAAAGUUUGUGAACACCAUUGGAUGCCAAGCAGAUGUUUGGCUUUGAGAAGACUUACAAACUGUUAAUGAAUGUCAACCCCGUGUUUGCUUCCAAGAAAAUAUGAAUAAAUGUUGGAAAUGCUGAGAGAAUAUUUCUUUCAUACAUGUAUGGCUAAAAGAGGACAUGCUGAAUAAGUUUUAUAACUUCAUAAAAUGCCCAUGUUUUGCUUUAACAUCAUAUAAUAAGCUGUUCAGCCCUGUCUGUCUCAUUUGCUACUCUACCUCUCCUGAGUAAUGUUAAAUAAUAAGGCCACGGUACUGUCUGGUAGCCACUUAUGUUAUACAGUUCCCCACCAGGGAAGUCCAUAUUUGACAGUAAAAUAUUAAUAAAUCUCAACACUUCAGAAUUCCACUACAAUUCAACAUUAUAUAGUUUUAGAUAUGAUCAGUUUAGAUAAACCACCAUCACCCAACAGCCGCACGUGCACACGCACACAUGCACAGACACCGAUGAGAACUGCAGAUCAUAUAACUCAGUAAAACAGAGUUAACUUGUACUGGAAAGUAUAUAAAAUAUAAGCAUGCAACUUAGUGAAUUUUCAUGAAACAAGUACACUCCUGUAUCAAGUACUCGAGCAUAACCAGCACCUCAGAAGCCCCCGCACGCUCCCCUCCCUGUAGCUUUAUUAUCCUCCCAAGAGUAAGUGCUAUCUUGAUUUCCAUGAUCAUGCUUCUUAAAUGCUAUCUUACUCGUUUCAGUCUUUUUCUGUUUUAUAUCUUGCUAACUUGGAAUAAGUGUACGUAUCUUCCAUAACUACAUUCAAAUUCUUGAUGAUUCUUUUCUGUUCAGCAAUUUUAAGUACAGACUCUGCAGCUUUCCACUGAGGCCUCCCUAAAGCUUUACAUAAAUCAAUAGUCAGCACUCUAAUGUGUCUUCAAAAACAAAUCCACCUAAUAGAUUAUGUACAGUUCUCUUUCAGUUCUAUGGUGAUAGAAUAAAGGGCUUCAUUUUCCGAUUUGUUAAGGACAUGGUAUAUGGAACCUACAAUAUUUCUUCAAUCUGUCUACUGACCUGAUUUUGUGGGGAAAGGAAAGCAGAGUUACUUUGGUGUAACUGGUUCUCCUUGAACCCAUAGGGUUUCUAGUGAUCACCUUCUUUCUAAUAAACCCAUGUGAGCCAUCCCCAUUUAGAGCAAUUAGAGGCUUGGCAUUUUGAGCCAGGCUAGGGCUUCAAGAGUCAAGACCAGGUAGGAUGUAAGCCAUGAGUGUUGAACAGCUGUAGGGCAUGGAGUAAAGAGAAGGAAAAGAGCACAUCCUAGAGGAAAAUGAUCUUGCAAAACAAGAGGCAUAUUACCAAGGAAGCAGACGGAGAGACGAAAAAUGGAUAUAAUAAGCUUUUAAGUUAAGGCAUGAAAAAGGAGGUGGUUCCAGAUAGUAUUUUCCAAGAGGAAGGGAGUAUUUCAUAGAGCAAAAGUGGGCAAACAUUUUCUGUAAAGGGCCAGAUAGUAAGUAUUUUAGGCUUUCUGGGCUAUACAGUCUAUGUCACAGCUACUCAACUCUGCCACGAUAGCGUGAAAGCAGCUCUGGACAAAAUAUAAAUGAAGGGGGUGACUGUGAUCCAAGAAGUCUUUAUGUAAAAAGCAGGCUACCGCCCAGAUUUGGCCCUGGGGUUAUAGUCUAUUGACCCCUGCAUGGUGUCUGUGGCUCGUGAAUGAAUGGUAAGCGGGAGACAUUCUGACAGAACAUCCAUGAGGUUCACUCCAACCUCCCUAGGCUGUAAUUUCCAGCUUUCUUUUCUGGAAAACUGAGACAUUUGCCAGUCUCUCUCCACCUGCCUGUUUCCCUUUCUCCAUGAUUCCUCAAAAAUGACUGACAUUAUUUCCGUAGUGACAGCUAUGCAGCCACUCUAGAGGGUCCAUUAAAUUUCUCUGUGUCCUGGGAUUCAAGAAAAACCGUUAAAAUGUGGAAUUCCCAGAAUUCAAUUUGUUUUUGAAUGAAGUGUCAAUAGAUAUUUAUGUGUCUCAGUAGGAGAUAGAUGAGGAACUAGGACCACAGAUAUCAGAUCCUGCUCUGUCACCAAAAUGCCUCCCCUCUGUUCUAGGGGGAUGUGCCAGCAAGAUGCAAAAGGACAAUUCCAGCCACGGGACCAGGCGGGAAGGGGCACACGCUAGCCUUCCCCUUAAGCUGGAAGUGGUCCAAAGCCAAAGUGAAGCAAAUUCUUGUUUGAUUUUUAUGCAUUAUUUUAGCUUCUGCCCUACAUGCCACUUCCUCUGCACUCCACCUUAGGAAAACAUUCUUAACUAUUUAACAUGUUCCCUUCCAAAUGCCACACUUUAUUUGUAUAUGUGUGCCACUGUGAAAAAUACAUAAUAUGGUUAUAUGUGUGUUGAAAUGAGAGAUCUAUAUUUAUAAUACUCCAGCACAAAUUUGUUGCCUCUUUAAUUUUUCUACAGUUGGGAGACUAUCCAUGUUACCAGAUGGAAAGCAAGUUUAUUUCUUCUCACCACUGCUCAUUGUUAUCUAAUGCAUCAUAAUAAUAUACAUCAUUUUAUUUAUGCUCAUAGCAAUGGCCAUAUAAGUUGCCUCUAAACCUUUGCUACCCUGGAAAGUGCUAAAGGGAAUAUCCUCUCUACAUAACCAUGCCAAGUGUUUUUUUAAUAUAUACUUAAGAAUGGAAGUGUGUGGCUGUGGCUAUAUCUAUAUUUUGUUUCAAUCAGAAUUGCCACAUUGCUCCAAAGCAGCUCUACUCAGAGUGUGCAUUCCCAGCUUUAUGUGAGAAGGUUGCUGUUUCUGCACCUUAACAUCAACGCUGGGCGUCCCUGAAUAUAUAACUUUGUCAAUUUGAUGGUUGUGUUGUUUUCACUUCUCUGAUUACUAGGGAGAUUAAGCAUCUCUUAAUAUAAAGAGAGACAGAGUGUGAGUGGGGGAGGGGCAGAGAGAGAGGGAGACACAGAAUCUGAAACAGGCUCCAGGCUCUGAGCUGUCAGCACAAAGCCCAGCAUGGGGCUCGAACCCACGAACCGCGAGAUCAUGACCUGAGCCAAAGUCAGACGCUUAACUGACUGAGCCAUCCAGGCACCCCUAGCAUCUCUUAAUAUAACUACUUACCUCUCUAGAUUUCUGCUUUUGAAGUUCAUUCAUUCAUUCAUUCAUUCAGCAAAUAUUUUUUGAGCACUCGCUAUGUUUGCUAUGUAUAAGUUCUAUAAAUAAAGCAGUGAACAAGAGGAAAAUCCCUGCCUUCACAUUGUAGCUGUUGUUCAAUAAAAUCAUUACACAUAUAUAUUCAAAGGUAAUAAUUACUGUGUAUGAUUGUGUGUAUAAAUGGUCAUGGUUGAUUUAUUAUAUAUCAGAUAGAUUUAUAUGAAAUCCUUGGUAAUAGUUGCUAUAAAGAAAAGCAACACACUGAAGAAGAAUAGGGGUACUGAACUGUCGGCUGGGGUUUUUUAUGGCUUAAUUGAAUAUUUCUGGUGAGAAAUCAUACGUAAGGUUUCUUUCUGGGGCGCCUGGGUGGCUCAGUUGGUUGAGUGUCCAACUUCAGCUCUGGUCAUGAUCUCACAGUUCAUGGGUUUGAGCCCCAUGUCAGGCUCUGUGCUGACAGCUCAGAGCCUGGAACCUGCUUUGGAUUCUGUGUCUCCCUCUCUCUUUGCCCCUCCCCCACUCACAUUUUCUCUCUCUCUCUCUCUCUCUCUCUCUCUCUCUCUCUCUCUCUCCCUUUCUCUCUCUCUCU